rnacentral:misc_RNA from 1 species
GUAGGUGAACCUGCGGAAGGAUCAUUAAUACGUAUCCAAACGUUAAACCCCCCCGUGAACAUUAAAAUGAACUGAGAAAUAUGCGAGACUAUGAUACCCGAACUAGAUGAAGGUUAUCUUUUCCUUUUUUUUUAAUAUAAAUACUAGACCUCCUGCUCUCGAGCGGCUACCUUGCAAUCCCUGGUAAAUCAUCGUUGAACAGCUUUGAUUCAGGGACCUCAAGUUACUGUUAGAUGUUUGAGCGAGUCGC